rnacentral:lncRNA from 1 species
UAUCGAAGGCCUCAGUUGCUGUGUGUUAGAGUUUGAGCUUAGUUCAGUGAACAACAAAGAUCCUUCAGAGUCACUGGUAGGGGGCUGAGGGGUAGACUUUUAAAAUUUCAAAACUUCACACUUCUUAUGGCUUUCGUAAGAACAGCCAUAAAUAACAAACUUGAAACACAGAGAUCCCCCAAAGCUAGGAUACAGGCCUUUGGCUUGCUUCUAGCUUAGUAGGGUGCCCUGCUUACAGAAAAAGGUCUGGGGAGAUGAAAACCUCCAACCCAAGUUUUGUAAAAAGGCUGGAAAACUAAAAAGUAAAGAGCAGCCCCGCCGAGGACCCCAGGAGCGGAGAGCAGCCCGCCUCCUUUGUGUGGUUUCGUCCAUCUUGUCAGUGAUGUGAGUUGCCGUUGCUGUUGUCUGCCCUGCCUAAAUGAGAAUAAAUACACACACGGCUUAUGCCCAAGCAAGUCACCUGUCUGCGUGAGAGGGAUGGCAGAACGUUAAAAUCGGGCUGUGGGGGUGGAGGGGAGGAGUACUUUUAAGAUGGCUGCCAGCGUUGCUAUGGAAAUGUAAUUCCCGACCAGCAGCAAAUCCCAUUCAAAAGGCCAAGAAUGGCCAUGUUAGGUCAAAAACGGAACAUGAACUGGGGGAAAAGAUUGCUUUUCAGGAGAACCAGACAAUUAAUUUAACAGAGGAACCACCCAACAAAGAGGAAAAUUACAGUUACCUUACGCGAGGGACCUUUAUUCAGUUAAAGUCCAAUUUCUAAAAGAGUGUGCCAGGGAUAAGGUGACAAGGCAAUGUUCUCCAUUUCCACAGAGGAGAAGUUUACAGGGAGGUGGGAGGGGCAGGGGUGAGAGGUCAAGAGGACGGUUUCCUGGCAGAAGAUCUGCAAGACACUGGGCUGGAUGGCUGAGGAGAGUUAUGGGGCUGUUUUCCAGAGUGCCCGAUUCUACUUUCAACCUCUAUGAAUUUGACCACUCUAAAUUCCCCAUUGCUGUGGUGCCAACAUAAAAUGUUCCCCCCAAGAUGCAUGUGCUCCCCAACUGGUAUAGGGGAAAGUUCUGGAAAUUUCUGCAGAUGGAACCAAGCUGGAGGAAGCAUCACCGGGGGAUGAGGGUGAGCAGUUAAGAUUGUUUUGUCUUUGACCUCUAUUUCUCUUUUCUCCUCGUCCUCCUCUCCCUCCUCCUCUGCUUCCCAUCAUGAGGUAAAUAUCUGGAUGGCUCCCUUUCCACAGACUCCCUCCAUCAUGAUGUUUAUCCUCACCACAGGCCCAGAAUGAAUGAAGCCAGGAACUGGGAGUGGAACUGUUCGAAACUGUGAGCACAAAUCAGCUAUGUCAACCAUUCUGUCUUUCUGCAAGCUGCUUAUCUCACGAUAACAUCUUCAAGGUUUACCUUGCUUGGAGCAUGGAACAAUAUUCUCUGGCUUGGGGCUGAGUAGAAUUUCUUCUUAUGUAUGGAACACCUUCUGGUUUCCCAUUAAUCUGUCUGUGGACGUAAGGGUUGCUCCCAUGCCUUGGCUGUGGUGAGCAUCACUGCUGCAAGUUGAAUAUGUAAGCAUCUCUUCAAAACCGUUUCAGUCCUUAUAAAAAUGUCCCCAGAAAGGGAAUUGCCAACACAUGGUGAUUCUGUUUUUUU